UGUAGCGUGUUCCACACUACCCAAGACAGCACUUCAUGGUGUCCCGUAGUCUCUGUUCAGCAGGAUAUGAUUCUAACGAAAAAACUUUCGAUAAAAUUCUUAUUGCUAAUAGAGGAGAAAUUGCAUGUAGGGUUAUUAAAACUUGCAAGAAGAUGGGCAUUAAGACGGUUGCCAUCCAUAGUGAUGUUGAUGCUAGUUCCGU